rnacentral:lncRNA from 7 species
AGAACCUGUGGGUGAUCAAAUGACAAACAGACUCACCCCUUUUUGGAAUUCCCAUCUUGCACCUGCCUGUAUGCUGCGUCCCAUCUUUUAAUUUCCAUCUUUUAUCCAUCAUUUCUUCCAAUGCCAAAUUCAAGUGUGACAUUUUCAUCCUAGUUACCACAGACCAAAACAAGCGGUCAUCAUUCUGGUAUCUUCGGAGUAAGUACGGCCAGUUGUUAGUAACGAUUGAACCAUUGUAGAUUGUUUUACAGGGUGGAGUGAAUCAACCACUCCAACAAGCAAUUGCCAUGGACAAAACAUAUCUGCAUUAGAAGAACAAAGACCUCUCUUUUUUUCUCCAGAAAGGCAAUACGAGGACUCUUAUAAAAAAUCAGUUAGCUAAACUUCUGAAAUUUCAAAAUGUUUAUUGUAAACAAAGAUAUACAAAGAUGGA